rnacentral:rRNA from 1 species
UGGUGGAGUGAUUUGUCUGGUUGAUUCCGUUAACGAACGAGACCUCAGCCUGCUAAUAGCUACUGUUUCUUUUGAAGCAGGCCAGCUUCUUAGAGGGACUAUUUGCGUCUAGUGAAUGGAAGUUUGAGGCGAUAACA